CACGUGGGAAUUCUCCUCAAGGUACGGAACAACUCAGGGAAACUUGGGCUAAUACCGUAUGAUGCAGAGAUGCCAAAGAUUUAUCGCCUUGGGAUAAGCCCGCGUCAGAUUAGGUAGUUGGUGGGGUAAUGGCCUACCAAGCCUGUGAUCUGUAGCUGGUCUGAGAGGACGAUCAGCCACAUUGGGACUGAGACACGGCCCAAACUCCUACGGGAGGCAGCAGUGGGGAAUCUUGCGCAAUGGACGAAAGUCUGACGCAGCCAUGCCGCGUGAAUGAUGAAGGUCUUAGGAUUGUAAAGUUCUUUAGCCUGUGACGAUGAUGACGGUAACAGGAGAAUAAGCCCCGGCCAACUUCGUG
rnacentral:rRNA from 1 species